rnacentral:rRNA from 1 species
CACGGAGACCCCUAGCGUUGUUCGGAAUCACUGGGCUUAAAGCGGGUGUAGGCGGGACGGUAAGUACCUUGUGAAAGCCCCGGGCUCAACCCGGGAAUGGCUGGGUAUACUGUCGUUCUUGAGGCAGGUAGAGGUCACUGGAACCUUAGGUGGAGCGGUGAAAUGCGUAGAUAUCUAAGGGAACGCCUGUGGCGAAAGCGGGUGACUGGGCCUGUCCUGACGCUGAGACCCGAAAGCGUAGGGAGCAAACAGG